rnacentral:rRNA from 1 species
CCUACGGGUGACAGCAGUGGGGAAUAUUGCACAAUGGGGGAAACCCUGAUGCAGCAACGCCGCGUGAGUGAGGAAGUAUUUCGGUAUGUAAAGCUCUAUCAGCAGGGAAUAGAAAAGAAGGUACCUGAAAAAGAAGCCCCGGCUAACUACGUGCCAGCAGCCGCGGUAAUACGUAGGGGGCAAGCGUUAUCCGGAUUUACUGGGUGUAAAGGGAGCGUAGACGGAAAGGCAAGUCAGAAGUGAAAGCCCAAGGCUCAACCAUGGGACUGCUUUUGAAACUGUCAAACUAGAGUACGGGAGAGGUAAGAGGAAUGCCUAGUGUAGCGGUGAAAUGCGUAGAUAUUAGGAGGAACUCCGAUUGCGAAGGCAGCUCACUGGACUGCAACUGACACUGAUGCUCGAAAGUGUGGGUAUCAAACAGGAUUAGAUACCCUAGUAGUC